UUCGCUGAUUUGAUUGAACAUUAGAAUUGAUUAUAUUAAUACAAUUUCAGCGUAUUGAUCGUGUCUUGUAUUUCUAUGUCUCUCUUAUGUGUUCCCUUGUGUGUAUGUUUUCUUGUAUUUCACGUGUCUGCAGCGCUGGUUUAUCGACCCGGCACAUAAAGCAAACCCACUGUCCUCGUGUUUCUUAGCUCCCGUCUUGUUUGCAAACUUUUCUCCUGUGUUUUUUUUACUUUGUCAAUAAAACGUGGUUGCCGUGACAACGGAGCUGUAAAAGUUGUUGCGAUCUGAUCUCCAGGGGGAGUCCGCAGUGCUUAACGAGCAGAGAGCGGAACCACAGCAUCCUGAGCCGUGGCUCCACACCGACCUCGGGCGACGGACCGGCUGUCGCGCUAAUCACGCAUCAGAUCCGGAUACGUCUCCGUUAAGUGACGUAAAUGAGCGGCGCAGGGCUUGUCCAAUCAGCGCCGUUGGCUGGAAUAGGCGGGAUUUCCUUUAAGUUUGGGUGAGUGACACCGUUCUUAGCCAAUCACCACGGCCUUCCGUGUUCUUCCACGGAAAUACCGCCCUCAAGUUGAGUGACUCGGCUCAGAACCAAUCAGCACCGAGAUUUCGGCAGGAGGCGGGGCAGAUACGGCUUUCGUCCAAUCACAAUUUCAAUUCCGGGACUUUACCUAAUUACGGCGGGCGGUGACACUUCCGAGAAAUGUCCACUGGGCGGCGACAGAGAUACACGACUCUAUGGCGGUGAGUCUCAAAGCGCUGUCGAAGACUUGUUGUGCAGAUAUUUUUUUUUUCAGAAGUGUAAAUAUAUUAUACUAUGUACCCCUGAUGACAUUAUUGAUUUGCUAUAUAUACUCUUGUUUUGUGUCGUAUCUAUUUUUAUUGCUACAUGAGUUAAAAAAGAACUGCACUUCUGAGAAAUGUCCACUGGGCGGCGACAGAGAUACACGAGUCUAGGCGGCGAAUCUUAAAGCGCCUCCUUACAGAUCCUCGUUGUGCUGAGAUUGAAAAUCAAAACAUGGUAACUGUGACUUUUCUGACAGCAACUCUGAAAGCUAAAGUAAAGAAGGAAACUAAUAUUGACAUUACUUUUAAAGAAGUAAAAUAAUGCUACAUUUAAACCCAUAUGAAAAUAUCAUUUGUAUUUUAAAAAAUAUUAUACUUCCACGAUAUAAUAAUUAACGAAAUGCUGUGAGAGGAGACCCAUGUUUGAACACUUUAAAACGGAUGUAAAUGCGUCUGUACAGACAAUUUGAAACAUGUACGGACCUUAUCUGCUUUUGUUUACUAUUAAACAAGAUUACUUGUUU